CCUACGGGUGGCAGCAGUGGGGAAUAUUGGGCAAUGGAGGCAACUCUUACCCAGCAAUGCCGCGUGAAUGAAGACGGUCUUCGGAUUGUAAAGCUCUUUAAUUGGGGACGAAAAAAAUGACGGUACCCCAGGAAUAAGCUUCGGCUAACUACGUGCCAGCAGCCGCGGUAAUCCGUAGGGGGCACGCGUUGUUCGGAAUGACUGGGCGUAAAGGGUGUGUAAGCAGUGUAGCAAAUUAGACGGGAAAUACCUAGGGCUGAACUCAGGUGCUGCUGCUAAAACUGCUAUACUUGAGUGCAGUAGAGGAGAGUGGAAUUCCUAGUGUAGCGGUGAAAUGCGUAGAUAUUAGGAGGAACAUCAGUGGCGAAGGCGACUUUCUGGACUGUAACUGACGCUGAGGCACGAAAGUGUGGGGAGCAAACAGGAUUAGAUACCCGAGUAGUC
rnacentral:rRNA from 1 species